UACGGAGGGUGCAAGCGUUAAUCGGAAUUACUGGGCGUAAAGGGCGCGUAGGCGGUCUGUUAAGUUCGGUGUGAAAGCCCUCGGCUCAACCGAGGAAGUGCGCCGGAUACUGGCAGACUUGAGUACCGGAGAGGAGGGUGGAAUUCCUGGUGUAGCGGUGAAAUGCGUAGAUAUCGUAAGGAAGACCAGUGGCGAAGGCGGGUCUCUGGACAGUUCCUGACGCUGAGGCACGAAGGCCAGGGGAGCAAACGGGG
rnacentral:rRNA from 1 species